GGGGUUGGAGCAGAGGAAGCGUAUAGUUACCAGCCCCCCUCAUGGCUGAAUAUUCUGCCCCCGCGGGGGUUGGAGCAGAGGAAGCGUAUAGUUACCGCCCCCCCAGGGCUGAAUAUUCUGCCCCCGCGGGGGUUGGAGCAGAGGAAGCGUAUAGUUACCAGCCCCCCUCAUGGCUGAAUAUUCUGCCCCCGCGGGGCGUAUAGUUACCGCCCCCCCCCCAGGGUUGAAUAUUCUGCCCCCGCGGGGGUUGGAGCAGAGGAAGCGUAUAGUUACCGCCCCCCCCAGGGCUGAAUAUUCUGCCCCCGCGGGGGUUGGAGCAGAGGAAGCGUAUAGUUACCGGCGCGUUUCCUGCCGACCAAAUAGGGGUUUUCUAAUGAAAUGAGUUAUUUAUUGUAUUUUUUUAUCACUAAACUACCCCGGGCUGUGCCUGCCGGGGGCAUCUCGCUACCUCCUGUACAUGAAAGUGCCUCUGGGCUGUGAGUGCGGCCCCCCAAACCCACCAAUAAACUGACUCAAAAUAAA